CAGUAGCCGCGGUAAUACGAAGGGUGCAAGCGUUAAUCGGAAUUACUGGGCGUAAAGCGUGCGCAGGCGGUUUGUUAAGACAGAUGUGAAAUCCCCGGGCUCAACCUGGGAACUGCAUUUGUGACUGGCAAGCUAGAGUGUGGCAGAGGGGGGUGGAAUUCCGCGUGUAGCAGUGAAAUGCGUAGAUACGCGGAGGAACACCGAUGGCGAUGGCAGCCCCCUGGGCCAACACUGACGCUCAUGCACGAAAGCGUGGGGAGCAAACAGGAUUAGAUACCCCCGUAGUCCCUGUCUCUUAUAC
rnacentral:rRNA from 1 species